rnacentral:rRNA from 1 species
AUUGAACGCUGGCGGAAUGCUUUACACAUGCAAGUCGAACGGCAGCACGGACUUCGGUCUGGUGGCGAGUGGCGAACGGGUGAGUAAUACAUCGGAACGUGCCCAAUCGUGGGGGAUAACGUAGCGAAAGCUACGCUAAUACCGCAUACGAUCUAAGGAUGAAAGCGGGGGAUCGCAAGACCUCGCGCGAUUGGAGCGGCCGAUGGCAGAUUAGGUAGUUGGUAGGGUAAAGGCCUACCAAGCAGACGAUCUGUAGCUGGUCUGAGAGGUUGAACAGCCACACUGGGACUGGUCAACGGCCCAGACUCCUACGGGAGGCAGCAGUGGGGAAUUUUGGACAAUGGACGCAAGUCUGAUCCAGCCAUUCCGCGUGCAGGAUGAAGGCCCUCGGGUUGUAAACUGCUUUUGUACAGAACGAAAAGGCUCUGGUUAAUACCUAGGGCUCAUGACGGUACUGUAAGAAUAAGCACCGGCUAACUACGUGCCAGCCGCCGCCGUAA